AGCCCACUCCUUGCAUCAGACACUGAUGCACUUCUUUACCCUGAAGGAUCUGCUUCCUAUUUACCCACAGCACUUUUAAGGGUCUCAGGGAGAUGGAAAGCCAACCACAAGAUAGAAGAUGACAGCCAUGGCACAAGACAGUGCAACAGAAAUGAGCAUACACACUAACCUACCUGUAGUUUCUUCCAAGUUUAUUCACACAGGAUGAUGGUGAGAGUUUUUUAAGAUUUAGGCAUGUUAGUUACACUGUUUUUUGCUUCAUUCUCUUUUUAACUGCUGAGAAAAUCAGCACCGGUAUGGGAAAAGGCAAGGGAAAUUAGGGGAUGGACAAACUAAUGUACCAGCUGGUCACAGAUCUAUAAAUCCCAAGCAGCAAUCCUGCAGGCUCUACCUUGUGAAGUGAGUGGGUUUUCCAUUUGGUACUCCAAAUAAAACUAUACCUGCUGGUAAACUAUUUUCACCAGCACUUCAUAUGCACUUCCUCAUACUUGCUUCCCAAAGCUAAUCUAAGCAAUGUAGAUGGAUUGAGUGAGUAAUCACAUGGGCCAGGUUUUAGGUUGUGUUUACCUGUGCAGACUUCAGAGAAUACAGAGUUAAAUGCUGCUCUCAAACACUUUCAAACAAGCUCAGGUUUAUUUUUGUUAUUUGCAUUUCAGCAUCAUCUAAAGUAACAGAUCCAUCACAGAGGGUUUGAGUAACAGAGCAGUAACAGGGGCCACAAGAACAAGCCUCCCAGAUUUCACACACAUGCCCAAUCACCACUGGGCACACACAAUUACAGUGUUACCCCAGCUCCCCACAGAAAUACCAGUACAGACUAAUUGAGUAAAAUAAUACGUGAAAAAUCCCACGUAGCUGGGAAUAAAACAACCACUGCCCAGGAGCCAGGGUGUGGCACCCUGUCACUAUUUGAAAGACAGCAUUCUGGGGCAACUUGAGCUCCCUUGGUUCUUCCUCAGAAAAUCUCUACGCGUAACUAAUAAUUGGCAGUGGAGACUGAUGCCCGUGAGAGAAAUUUUUACAUGUAGCUGAUGUCUCUUGAGAGAGAUUUCACAACAAAUUUAAGCCAGUUGAAGACCUUGAUGCUGCCAAAGAGGUGUGGAAAACAGAAAUGGCCCUUCUUACAGCACCAUCUGCUUAGGUUAGGUUAGGUAUUACAGAACCCCCUUUGUCUCAUCUGCAAAAUAUGGGCAUCAAAGGGGGUAUUUUAAAAACAAUCAGGAGCUGCAGGUUACCGGGUACAGGAAGUUAAGUGUGAGGUUCUGGCAGUUGAAAAUGCAGCCUGCCAAUAACUGCCAUACUGGCAUAAAAGGCAGAUAAAAAGUGUGCUGGAAGAAGUUAUCCUACCUCCCUAACUAGCCCAUCAAAGUACUUUGCUGCAGUGAUGAAAUCACAUGCUGCUCAGUUCCCCAGAAAGUAUAUUCCCCCCAACACAGCAUGACUGCCAUGAAUUAGGCUCCUGGACAAAAACAUUGUCUCUUCUUGAAUCUGUACUGCUACUACAGACUGGAUAAAGACAGAAGUGG